UGACGGUGAUGAGCACUUUACCGAAACUGAUCAUUUUUUGAUGAGACAAACCUUCGGAUCUGAUUACUGAGUU